rfam:Marinomonas sp. MWYL1, complete genome.
CUCACGGUUUUUUUUAAAACCAUGUAAUAGAAACAAUUAUUAACUG